rnacentral:lncRNA from 1 species
AGACCUUCAGAUCAACAUCCUUACAAAUCCUGACUGCUUGUCAAAAACACAAUUUGAAAUUACUGGAUUGCCAGAGAGAAGAAACCAGGUGAGAAUCCAGUUUUACAGAACAGCAUCCAGCCAUCCUCACACUUGAAAGGUGCCAGCUGGCCAUUAUUGCUACAGAGGUGUUACAGACAAAUGCAUCUCUAUAGAUGUAGACAGCAUUCGUGUUACAUCCUGAUAGGAAAAGAUUCUCAUAGACUGGUGUGUGAUCACAUAGUUAAUGCUUCUGUGUUGCUGAGGUAAGGUGCAAAGAUAACUGUGAAUCUAACUUCCCUCAAAUGUUAAACUUGCAGUUUAAAAAAGCUUGUAUCUUGCUGCUACUUGCAUCUCUCUUCCUCAGUUUAUAACAAAGAGAACUAAAUUUUGCAAAGAAAUCAUGUCUAAUCUGCUCAAAUGGUUUAACAGCAGAACUGGAAAGUGUAUUUACUGCACAGACAUGUUGAUGCUUGUAUCAGUAAAACUGUUAUAUAUUUCACUUAAGUUGAAAAUUAAUUAAUAUUUGUAACCUAAUGUUUCCUAACAUGGGGGUUUUAGUCAAAGCCUAUCUCAAGUAUCUCGUAUUUAGUCAAGCAAAUUCCUUACUUUAAAUAAUACUUGUUUCUACUUUUCUCAUUUCAGUAGGAAAAAAAUUAUCCCCUAGUCUUUUUCUUCGUUCUUGCUCUCACUGUUCCUUACUCUUGUGUUUUUUUUUUUUUUUUUUGCAGGCUCUCUUGUACUGCUUGCUUCUGUCCCUGUCUGAACAUCUGCUUCUUUGCACUAUGACUCCUGCCUCAGUUCUUCCCCCUCUAGGCACAUUAUCGCUCUUGGAGAAAAGUAGACCAAGAGGACAUCUAAUUGUUUUGUUCUACUAA